rnacentral:lncRNA from 1 species
GGUGAUAUCCCUUUUUGCUGCUUAGUUCUCACGAGUUUAUGCAGGCAUUCCUCCUUUGGGGAGGUUAGAAGUAACAGAUAGUAUCUCUUGAUUUUGAUGAAAAUGGCAACCAUCCUUGACAUGUUACUGCUUCCUUCUGCCCUCAGCCAAAAUAAGCAUACUAGUGCUAGCUAAGAUGUUGUCUGGAGACUUAUUUGUUUGGCUAUGAAAAUGACUAAAUUGUUCACAAAAACCUAUUGCAGCUAUUUUAUAGCAGAGCUGCCUAUGCAAAAUUACUAGUGCUAAUCAUUUAGUCACAUUUUCCAUACUGGUGGCACAAUUUGCAUUUUUCUAAGGGUCACCCUUAGAUCAUCAGUUAUUAACGGCAGGAUAAGAUAAUCCUUGGUGUUGGCUUUUUUCGAUUUGCUUGACGUAUGCAUUAAAGCUAUCAUUUUAGUUAGCUUACCACAUUGUUUUGCAACAACCUAGUAUAAUCCUACUUGGGAAGGUAGUGUGUACGCAGACGUUACCCCUACCCCCUAGGGUAGCGAGGAUAUUUCCAAUAGACCCUCGGUAUCAUUUCUCAUAAUCAUCUCUUGAAGCACCUCACUACGUGAAACCAGGAGUACCCUAUAACUUGAUUAUUGCAGAAAAUACUCUUUUAUUAUUGUUCAUAAGGUAACAGUUCAUUUCUGGUGGUGGUGAGGCUUGGUAUCACUAGUAAAAAAUAGAUGGACAAAGAAGAAACUUGCAAUCUAGAACUUUACCAUCGGAUAUUAUUUUACUCACUAUUAUUUGUUCAGUAUCCUUCACUAUUCUUUUCUUUUUGGCAGAGGCUAUCAGGAGCAUCAUUAUUGAUAUUUGCAAAUAAGCAGGACAUACAAGGCGCUCUUUCUCCGGAUGAAAUAGCAAAAGUGCUUAACCUGGAGGCCAUGGAUAAUAGCCAGCACUGGAGAAUCGUGGGAUGUAGUGCAUACACCGAAGACGGCCUACUUGACGGAUUUGAUUAUUAUAACUUAAAAACUGUGUUGCGUGAACAAUGAAGUGGAAGUGUGGAACUCUUAUUCUUGAAACUAGUAAAGAAUAGGGUGCUAUCAAUGAUAUCCUUAGCAAUUAAGUGAGAUUCUUUUUGGUUCACUUAAAACUAUAAUUUACUAAAAGUAAAGUUAUGAACUGAUUAGUAGCUUUCUGCAUUUUAUUCAGCCAACCCUUCUGUUACACAACAGAAGAACUGUAGUCUUAGGUAAUAGCCUUGACUGUUAAUGACACAACUCAACAAAUGCAAAAGCACUUACGACGUGCUUAUGAUGUUUAAGCUCCGCUCAGUAACUAUUUACAACUUUUUCCUUGUUGAAAGUGGAUGGAUUUAGCCCAGGAAUGCUCUUUGGGGUCCAUGAUCAGUAAAGUUCUUAUGUUAUAAUCCAAUGCAGCAAUGCAAAAUGUAAACUAGAACUCUCCGGAUUUAUGAAGCAAGUAUUUAGUUUUAUCAAAUAAAUAAAACUUUUCUCUGUAGCUUUGGAAUAAGGGAUGGUUUAAGUGUUGCAACUCCUGCUUUCACAUUACUGUCUUAGUUAUUGUCCUCUCCCUUAAAAGGCUGUGGUGUCUCAUGAAUCAUGAAGUCUUACUUUGCUACAUACAAAGAAUAAACUGACCCCGCAUCUUGAAUGUGAGCUUUUCUUUUUAUUGUUAUUCUUUUUUUCUACAAACUUUAUGGCUUUUUGAACCCUGUAUUUAAACUAAAUCUACACUUUGCAUUAAAGGCUAGUUUUCCUUUUUUGAUUUCUUUUGAGAGAAACUUCAUUGUAGCCCUGUCGUUUAGUAGGUUUGCAUUGUUAAGAUGAUUUCUUAAUGUUUGGAAAUCUAAAGCUCCAAAUAUGAAAACUAAAGUACUGAGAGAUCAGACAAGAGGGGUUGCUCUGAUGGUAAGCAACCCCCACUUCCAACCGAGAGGUUGUGAGUUCGAAUCCCCCAAGAGCAAGGUGGGAAGUACUUGGAGGGAAGGAUGUCGGGGGUCUAUUUGGAAAAUGCCUCUCUACCCAAGGGUAUGGGUAAGGUCUGCGUACAUACUACCCUCCCCAGACCCCACUAAGUGGGAUUAUACUGGGUGGUUGUUGUUGUUGUUGUUGUUGUAAAGUACUGAGAGAUCAGGAAAGUAGCUUCUUUCUGGCCAUGGUUUAGGAAGUAUGAGUAGGUAGUGUUCAAAUUACUUCAGCUGGCUUAACUUUCUUUCACAUUGAUCCUCAACCCAUCUAUUUUUCGUGUAUGGCCAUUUAUUCCUAAAGUUCUGUUUACAUUAAAACAGAGGGAACCUAACUUCUUCUGAUUCAGGUGCUCAACCUGGAGGCCAUGGAUAAUAGCCGGCACUGGAGAAUCGUGGGAUGUAGUGCAUACACCGGAGACGGCCUACUUGACGGAUUUGAUUGGCUGGUGCAAGACAUUGCAUCGAGAAUCUAUAUGCUUGAUUGAGUGAAGUUUACUUUGAGAUUUUGGUUCAUUCAAGAUAACCUUUCUAAACACCUUUUUAUGUUCCACGGAUCUAUAUGCUUGAUUGAGUGAUGUUUACGUUAAGAUUUUGAUUCAUUCAAGAUAACCUUUUUAAACACCUUUUUAUGUUCCAUUUGGAAUACAUUUGUGAUAUAAAGAUAAAAUUUCUGUCUGAGGACAUUUUACUCGUGUUAUUGCUCAUUGUACACUGCUCAAAUGACACCAUUAGUGAAGAAAAUUCUUUUCAGACCCUCCCCUACGGCCAGAGUCUGUUGGCUAAUUUCGUUUACAGAUAAAAUAGAAAAGUUAUACCUUCAGAACAAA